GACGAACGCUGGCGGCGUGCCUAAUACAUGCAAGUAGAACGCAGUUGCGAACGGGUGAGUAACGCGUAGGUAACUGUCUCAUAGCGUGGCAUAACUAUUGGAAACGAUAUCUCAUACCGCAUACUGUGAGAUGGACCUGCGUUGUAUUAGCUAGUUGGUGAGGUAAAGGGUCAACAAGGCGACGUUACAUAGCCGAGCUGAGAGGGGUAACGGGCAAAAUUGGACUUAGAAACGGCCCAAACUCCUACGGGGAGCAGCAGUAGGGGAACUUUGGAAAUGGACGGAAGUCUGACCGAGCAACGCCGGCUGGGUGAAGAAGGUUUUCGGAUCGUAAAGCUCUGUUGUUAGAGAAGCGGUAACUAAACAGAAAGGAACGGCUAACUACGUGCCAGCAGCCGCGGUAAUAC
rnacentral:rRNA from 1 species